rnacentral:rRNA from 1 species
CCUACGGGAGGCUGCAGUGGGGAAUAUUGGACAAUGGGCGAAAGCCUGAUCCAGCCAUGCCGCGUGUGUGAAGAAGGCCUUCGGGUUGUAAAGCACUUUCAGUGGGGAAGAAAGCCUUGGGGCUAAUACCCUCGAGGAAGGACAUCACCCACAGAAGAAGCACCGGCUAACUCCGUGCCAGCAGCCGCGGUAAUACGGAGGGUGCGAGCGUUAAUCGGAAUUACUGGGCGUAAAGCGCGCGUAGGCGGUCUGAUAAGCCGGUUGUGAAAGCCCCGGGCUCAACCUGGGAACGGCAUCCGGAACUGUCAGGCUAGAGUGCAGGAGAGGAAGGUAGAAUUCCCGGUGUAGCGGUGAAAUGCGUAGAGAUCGGGAGGAAUACCAGUGGCGAAGGCGGCCUUCUGGACUGACACUGAUGCUGAGGUGCGAAAGCGUGGGUAGCAAACAGGAUUAGAUACCCUAGUAGUC